UCACUGUUGACAUUGAGACUGAUAAACUUGGAUUAGCUAACACAAUAUUUCUCCCAUUCUUCUCUGCAGAUCCUUCUCUGCAGGUCUCUCGAUCCUGACUAGUCACCCAGUCACUGAAGAUUGAUGAGGAAAACAUUUAAUUGAAUCCAUUUUAGAAUAAGGCUGUAACGUAACAAAAUGUGGAAAAAGGGAAGGAGUCUGAAUACUUUCCUAAUGCGCUGUAUAAUGAUGAAAAAAGAAAACUGGACACAGGAAUGUUCUUGCAAAGUUCCCAUAAAACGUGUCUAGAACAUUACUAUUGAAUAUUGGUAACAUUAUUGGUACAUGGUAACCACGUUCUGGGUAAGCUCUGUUUGACAUUAAGGGAAUGUUCUCUUGGAAACAGUUAUUGCACAUCACUGGAACAUUCCUAUGAAAACGUUAGAUAUUACCCAAUAACGCUUAAGCGAACGUUCAGUUGUGGGAACAUUUGGGAACAUUUGUUUUAAGCUAGGUAGAGAGGACAUGAGUGAUCAAGGAAAUAAUAAUUGAGAAAGACCCACACCCAUUCUUAAUAUCUGACCUCUAACUUUCACAGAGAGGCGAGAGCUAAAGGGGUGGAGCUGCGGUGGUGGCAGCCGCGUCACCACGGUGUGGGACAUGACCAGUGGGCGCUGGACCAUGUGGAAGUAGUUCUCACUCGUAAACAAAACUACAUGAUGAACUUUGCCAGACAGACCGGCCUACGCCACUACUACAGCCGGAAGAGGCGGGCACUGCUACAACAUCGUGCCUAACCUCUGAGAAGAGGAUUCAUCCUAUGACCUGCCAAUCACACAUUUGACCUACCAACCAACCACAUUCCUUUCUCCAUAUCACCCUGUUGAGUCCCACCCACCAGCAAAUGGAUUCCAGUCAGCCUUGGACUACACUCCCUCCCUCUCCAACCUUCCAAUCCCCACUCUGCCAGACAUGGGCCCAUCCCAUCAGUGUAUGCUGUAGCCAGUCAGAAGCCUUCCCCACCCCCAUAUGAUGGGAAGGAAGGAGACGUGACGGAGCAACAAAGGCAACCAUUUUGUUGGCUUUUCAUGAACUUUCGGGUUUCUAGUUGUUUUCUAAUCGUUGCUGUACAUGGUUAUUAUGAUAUGAUGAUUCCCUGUUCCAGUUGCGAUAUGAUGAUACCCCCUGGCUUUCCCUGUCACCCCAUCCUACCCAUCUCCUAGUCCUACUACUACCACACUGUGAAGUUAUUCCGAGAAAUCAGUAAUGACCAGGGAGCAUAGAGUUGGAGAGAGCACACUGUCACAGAAGUGAUAAUGGCAAAGAUGGGGAGUGAGCCCCCUUUCCAACUCUAUGCCAUGGAGCUGGGCUAGCUGGAUGCUUCCAAGAUCAACGGAGCCGCAGGGAGGAAAAUUCCUCUGCUUCGCGCCAGUACCUGAGGAGGAGGAUGAUGAUGAUGGAGAUGAGGAUCAUAACAGUGAUAAGGAUGCUAAAAAAAGUACUGUGUUCUUGCUGUUCUGUUCAGUGUGUCUGUGUUAUUUUUGUGAUGGUUUGACUGUUGUGUUCCAUUCAUUCGUUUUUUACUAAUUCGUAUCGUGCUAUUUUUGAUUGGAUUAGUUUUUUCUUGUUUCCAUCUUCUCAGAGGCAGACGGAAGGAAGGAACAAAUCGCAAAAGGGGGGAAUAAAAGACAGAAAAUAGAAUAUAAAAAAGAAAAUAAAUUUAAGACUGAACAAUUAUUUAUUUUAUUUUAUUAUUUUUAUAUAUGUUGGUUCCCGAAAAUACAGAUAUUUAUGGUAGGCGGUUCUCCACGUAACCUAUUUAAAGAUGCACUAUGCGUGAAAUCUGUAUGUUAUUUUCUAGUGUUAAGUUAUCCAGCCUCUCUCAAGGCCAUCGGGCUGCAACCCUCCCCCCCCCCCCCCCCCAUUCUCUUGUGCUGUUACCCGCAUCCCUCUCAUUCUCUCUGCUAAAUUCUGCUCCCUGGAGAUGAGGCUCCAUCAGUGUUGUUUCUUGAAGUCGAAUGUGUAAUGUGGACCCUCUCCCAGCCCUAUCUCUCAGUGUAACUCCAGUAUAGCAGUCUCCUGUAGAUACAGUAUAUGUAUAUCCACUAUGGGGAGACCCAGCAGCCUUAUAAAAGGGAAAUAAAGAACUGUCCAAACCUCA